rnacentral:rRNA from 1 species
UGGGGAAUCUUGGACAAUGGGGGAAACCCUGAUCCAGCGAUGCCGCGUGGGUGAAGAAGGCCUUCGGGUUGUAAAGCCCUUUAGGCGGGGAAGAAGGAUGCAGGCUGAAUAAUCCUGUGUUUUGACGGUACCCGCAGAAUAAGCACCGGCAAACUCUGUGCCAGCAGCCGCGGUAAUACAGAGGGUGCAAGCGUUAAUCGGAUUUACUGGGCGUAAAGGGCGCGUAGGCGGUUGUGUGAGUGUGAUGUGAAAGCCCCGGGCUUAACCUGGGAAGUGCAUCGCAAACGACACAACUGGAGUAGAUGAGAGGGUGGCGGAAUUUCCGGUGUAGCGGUGAAAUGCGUAGAGAUCGGAAGGAACGUCGAUGGCGAAGGCAGCCACCUGGCAUCAUACUGACGCU